GAUGAACGCUGGCGGCGUGCCUAAUACAUGCAAGUCGAGCGAACAGACGAGGAGCUUGCUCCUCUGACGUUAGCGGCGGACGGGUGAGUAACACGUGGAUAACCUACCUAUAAGACUGGGAUAACUUUGGGAAACCGGAGCUAAUACCGGAUAAUAUAUUGAACCGCAUGGUUCAAUAGUGAAAGACGGUUUUGCUGUCACUUAUAGAUGGAUCCGCGCCGCAUUAGCUAGUUGGUAAGGUAACGGCUUACCAAGGCGACGAUGCGUAGCCGACCUGAGAGGGUGAUCGGCCACACUGGAACUGAGACACGGUCCAGACUCCUACGGGAGGCAGCAGUAGGGAAUCUUCCGCAAUGGGCGAAAGCCUGACGGAGCAACGCCGCGUGAGUGAUGAAGGUCUUCGGAUCGUAAAACUCUGUUAUUAGGGAAGAACAAAUGUGUAAGUAACUAUGCACGUCUUGACGGUACCUAAUGAGAAAGCCACGGCUAACUACGUG
rnacentral:rRNA from 1 species